UACCAGCACCCCGAGUGGUCGGGACGUUUAUUGGGCCUAAAGCAUCCGUAGCCGGUUCUACAAGUCUUCCGUUAAAUCCAACUGCUUAACAGGUGGGCUGCGGAAGAUACUAUAGAGCUAGGAGGCGGGAGAGGCAAGCGGUACUCGAUGGGUAGGGGUAAAAUCCGUUGAUCCAUUGAAGACCACCAGUGGCGAAGGCGGCUCACUGGCCCGAUACUGACGCUGAGGUGCGAAAGCGUGGGGAGCAAACAGG
rnacentral:rRNA from 1 species